UUAUCUUGUCACUUGAUUAUGAAGAUAAACAAGUGUGGAAGGGGUCAUCACAGUCACUGUGUACUUUUAGAUCUUGUGUAGCAUUACUUCUUCUUUUGUCAGCAGCAGUUAAUGGUGUACAAAGUAAUGUAAAGGUUUGUUUUAAAAAAUUGUCAAGAAGAACAACCAUUGGAAAACUGAAACAUAGAGAUUUAUGGUGGAUUUCAGGAGGAAUGAAUAACAGUCACUACUUCAUCUUUUUAACAAUCUUGCAGCUGACUUUAGGUGUGCAAACAACUUUAAAGAAGGGACAGACUUUUACAUUUCGUCCAGCGACGGAUAACAUUAGCGAGAUUGAAUGGAAACGUCAUACAAGCAAUGAAACUAAACUGCUGGCCUGGAUCUUUCUAAACAAUGACCAUAAAAAUGACUCCAAAAUUUACAGUAAAAGAACUGGCAUGUACAUAAUGGAGAACGGGAUGCUUCGCAUGGAAGAUAUUAAUGAUGAGGAUUCUGGGAAUUACUCUAGCACUAUCGUUUUUUAUAAUGGCACAACACAAAAACAACAGUUUUAUCUUCAAGUUCUUAAUGAUUUUUUACCAACUCAAGGCCCCGAACACAGUACUGUGCACAACUCAACUAAACCAGCAGGUACCAUUCCAGUCUCUUCAUAUAGCAAUGAUUUAAAUUUGCAUAGCAUUUCUAUUCUGCUGCCUGAAACUUAAUUGCUAUCCAAAAAUGCCAGAAACGUGUGAUAACAUUAUGGGGCUGUUUUUCGGACAGGUCUUAUCCAUGUUUGAGCUGCUUUUAUUUUAAUAACAUCUUGCCCUAAACAUAUCAGUGCCAUUGCCUUCUCUAAAGAUGCACACCAGUGUUGUUUUUGUAAGAUUUUUUUGUAAAAACUUCUCAAAUGUCUUUAUAUAUCACUAAAGCUUGUCCUGGAAACUGCCCCUAUAUGUACUAAACAUUGUACAUUGACUUAUUUUUCUUGUUGUCUUUCCUCAUAGAGCCUCGUCUUUCUAUUACAUUGCUGAUUGUAAUACUCGUAUGCUCAGCACUCGCACUUGUAUUUGUUAUUGUAGUCACUAUUAUCAUCUUCAGAUGUGCAAAGAAGUGUUCUUACACUUCAGAAGAACCCAUCUAUGUCAACAAAGCAGUUGUUCAUAAGUCAAGGAAAUGAAAGACCACAGGGAAUUGUCACCCUCUCCACAAACAGCACCUGAUGGUGUUACUGUGUUCUGGCGUGUCUGGGAUAAAGGGAAGAAGGGUCAUGUGUUUUGGAGGAGGAAGAGAGCGAUGAAGAGCAGGUGGAGGGAUCUGACAGAGCUUGGGAGCAGCCAGGGUAAAGCCUCAGUGACAGACUAACCAAGGUGGAAUCAGAAAUGGUGGAGACCCAGCCAAACAAAAAAAACAUAUAAAUACCCAAUGAAUGGCUGACACACCUGGACAGGAGGCCUAAGGCAGAACCCUAACCAGUUGAAAUGUGGGGCAGAGCUGGUGGGAGUGAGGACGAAGGAGGAGUAGGCAGGUGUCAACUUGUCAUCUGUUAAAUUUCAUCUAUCUAUUAAAUUGUUAUCUGAUUACUCAAUGAACUAAUUGACAAACCAAGAAACUUGAAUUGCUUAGUAACAAAAUAUGCUGCAAACAGAUGAUGGCGCCAACGCUUUUGCGUCUAGGUUUGUAAUAUAAUUAAUUAGGGGAGAACACGGCUGAAACUGACAAAGGGAUUUUCUCAGAGCCCUGACUACAUCUGCAUUCCAAACUAUGAAAGUAACAAUGUGCUACUUACGUUCAAAGUGAAAUUAUACUUAAGUAAUUUUACAUUUGUUCAAAAUUUCACCUUGUAUUGAUAGACCACAAUUGUGAGUUAUUCACCACAGCAAAAUAUAUAUCUGUCUAUAACAUGCUGUCCCUUAAUUGCGUCCAUAAUGAAGAACAUGAUUAAAAUGGCAAAAAAUCUGAGAAGUUAAGAAUUGGGUCAUUCUAUGAAAAUGGUGGCUUUCCUGUCCCGUCCCCAACCACCAGGAAAAACACUUAAAAUUGUCAGAUAAUGACACAAAACAUAUGUUUUUUGUUUUAAUUGAAGUGUUUUGUAAUUAACAAAACAUAUGUAAGACA